AAUAGAUACCCCGGUAGUCCUAGCCGUAAACGAUGAACACUAGGCGUAGUCGGUAUCGACCCCGGCUGUGCCGUAGCUAACGCAUUAAGUGUUCCGCCUGGGGAGUACGGCCGCAAGGGUGAAACUCAAAAGAAUUGACGGGGGCCCGCACAAGCAGUGGAGCAUGUGGUUUAAUUCGAUGCAACGCGAAGAACCUUACCUGGGCUCGAAAUGCAGAGCGCGACACUAGAGAUAGUGUUUCCGUAAGGAGCUUUGUAUAGGUGCUGCAUGGCUGUCGUCAGCUCGUGCCGUGAGGUGUUUGGUUAAGUCCAGCAACGAGCGCAACCCUUAUCGUUAGUUACCAGCGCGUAAUGGCGGGAACUCUAGCGAGACUGCCUAGGUUAACUAGGAGGAAGGUGGAGGAUGACGUCAAGUCCGCAUGGCCUUUAUGUCCAGGGCUACACACGUGCUACAAUGGUCGAUACAGAAGGCAGCGAAACCGUGAGGUGAAGCAAAUACCUGAAAAGUCGAUCUCAGUUCAGAUUGU
rnacentral:rRNA from 1 species